CUGGACACCCUAGGAUCAACAGGGACAUUGUAGAAGCAAUGGUACUGGACACCCUAGGACCAAUGGUACUGGACACCCUAGGGCCAAUAGUACAGGACACCCUAGGACCAAUGGUACUGGACACCCUAGGACCAACAGUACAGGACACCCUAGGACCAAUAGUACAAGACACCCUAGGACAAAUAGUUCAGGACACCAUAGGACAUAGAACAUAUAGGAUACAUUACUACUCCUUGAAAGAAUACACAAU